rnacentral:piRNA from 1 species
UGACUGAUAAGCCGCAGAAGUUGCCAGUU